GAUGAACGCUAGCGGCAGGCCUAACACAUGCAAGUCGAGGGGUAACUAGAGUGAUAGCAAUAUUACUUUGGCUAGACCGGCGCACGGGUGCGUAACACGUAUGCAACCUACCUUAUACUGGGGAAUAACUUCGAGAAAUCGGCGCUAAUACCCCAUAACAUUGCGAAGAGGCAUCCCUUUGCACUUACAGCUCCGGCGGUAUAAGAUGGGCAUUCGUCCAAUUAGCUAGUUGGUGAGGUAACGGCUCACCAAGGCUACGAUUGGUAGGGGUUCUGAGAGGAUGAUCCCCCACACUGGUACUGAGACACGGACCAGACUCCUACGGGAGGCAGCAGUGAGGAAUAUUGCGCAAUGGACGAAAGUCUGACGCAGCCAUGCCGCGUGCAGGAUGACGGCCCUAUGGGUUGUAAACUGCUUUUGUACGGGAAUAAACCCUUCUACGUGUAGUAGGCUGAAGGUACCGUAAGAAUAAGCACCGGCUAACUCCGUGCCAGCAGCCGCCGUAAUAC
rnacentral:rRNA from 1 species